rnacentral:rRNA from 1 species
AUUGAACGCUGGCGGCAGGCCUAACACAUGCAAGUCGAGCGGAUGAAGGGAGCUUGCUCCUGGAUUCAGCGGCGGACGGGUGAGUAAUGCCUAGGAAUCUGCCUGGUAGUGGGGGAUAACGUCCGGAAACGGGCGCUAAUACCGCAUACGUCCUGAGGGAGAAAGUGGGGGAUCUUCGGACCUCACGCUAUCAGAUGAGCCUAGGUCGCAUUAGCUAGUUGGUGGGGUAAAGGCCUACCAAGGCGACGAUCCGUAACUGGUCUGAGAGGAUGAUCAGUCACACUGGAACUGAGACACAGUCCAGACUCCUACGGGAGGCAGCAGUGGGGAAUAUUGGACGAUGGGCGAGAGCCUGAUCCAGCCAUGCCGCGUGUGUGAAGAAGGUCUUCGGAUUGUAAAGCACUUUAAGUUGGGAGGAAGGGCAGUAAGUUAAUACCUUACUGUUUUGACGUUACCAACAGAAUAAGCACCGGCUAACUUCGUG